UAAAGAAUUUCGGUUAUCGAUGGGGAUGCGUUCCAUUAGUUAGUUGGCGGGGUAACGGCCCACCAAGACGACGAUGGAUAGGGGUUCUGAGAGGAAGGUCCCCCACAUUGGAACUGAGACACGGUCCAAACUCCUACGGGAGGCAGCAGUGAGGAAUAUUGGUCAAUGGACGAGAGUCUGAACCAGCCAAGUAGCGUGAAGGAUGACUGCCCUAUGGGUUGUAAACUUCUUUUAUAUGGGAAUAAAACAGGGUAUGCAUACCCUCUUGUAUGUACCAUAUGAAUAAGGAUCGGCUAACUCCGUGCCAGCAGCCGCGGUAAUACGGAGGAUCCGAGCGUUAUCCGGAUUUAUUGGGUUUAAAGGGAGCGUAGGUGGAUUGUUAAGUCAGUUGUGAAAGUUUGCGGCUCAACCGUAAAAUUGCAGUUGAAACUGGCAGUCUUGAGUACAGUAGAGGUGGGCGGAAUUCGUGGUGUAGCGGUGAAAUGCUUAGAUAUCACGAAGAACUCCGAUUGCGAAGGCAGCUCACUAGACUGCAACUGAUACUGAUGCUCGAAAGUGUGGGUAUCAAACAGGAUUAGAUACCCUGGUAGUCCACACAGUAAACGAUGAAUACUCGCUGUUUGCGAUAUACAGUAA
rnacentral:rRNA from 1 species